UCAAAAGAAUUAAGGCGGACGGCGGAGACCUAGGCACUCAGAGACGAUGAAGGGCGCAUUAACCGGCGAUACGCUUCGGGGAGUUGGAAACAAACUUUGAUCCGAAGAUACCCGAAUGGGGCAACCCCACUGAACUACUUUAUUAAAUUCAUAAAAAGUAAGAGGUAACCCGGUGAAUUGAAACAUCUUAGUAGCCGGAGGAAAAGAAAGCAAACGCGAUUUCCCUAGUAGCGGCGAGCGAAAAGGAAACAGCCUAAACUAUCUUUCUUUAUUUGAAAGAUAGGGUUGUGGGAAGACAAUUAAGUUAAAAAAAAAGAAAAGACGAAGCAGCUGAAUCCUGCACCAUAGAUGGUGAAAGUCCGGUAGUUUAAUUCAAUUUUUAAUAAUGUCUUAUCCCGAGUAGCAUGGGGCACGUGGAAUCCCGUGUGAAUCAGCGAGGACCACCUCGUAAGGCUAAAUAUUCCUGAGUGACCGAUAGCGAAAUAGUACCGCGAGGGAAAGGAGAAAAGAACCCCUGUAGGGGAGUGAAAAAGAACGCGAAACCGUCCGCUGACAAGCAGUGGGAGGAGUAUAAGCUCUGACCGCGUGCCUGUUGAAGAAUGAGCCGGCGACUUAUAGGAAGUGGCUUGGUUAAGGAAAAUACAUCCGGAGCCAUAGCGAAAGCAAGUCUGAAUAGGGCAUAAAUGGUCACUUCUUAUGGACCCGAACCCGGGUGAUCUAAGCAUGGCCAGGAUGAAGCUUGGGUAAAACCAAGUGGAGGUCCGAACCGACCGAUGUUGAAAAAUCGGCGGAUGAGCUAUGUUUAGCGGAGAAAUUCCAAUCGAACUCGGAGCUAGCUGGAUCUCCCCGAAAUUUGUUGAGGCGAAGCGGUGACGAAGGGCUGCCUUGGGGUAAAGCAACUGUUUCGGUGCGGGCUGCGAAAGCGGUACCAAGUCGUGACAAACUCAGAAUACAAGGUAUAGCUUGCCGUCAACCAGUGAGACUACGACGGAUAAGCGCCGUUGUCAAGAGGGAAACAGCCCAGAUCAUCAGCUAAGGCCCCUAAAUGGACGCUAAGUGGAAAAGGAUGUGGGAAUGCAGAAACAACCAGGAAGUUCGCUUAGAAGCAGCUAACUUUAAAAGAGUGCGUAACAGCUCACUGGUAACAGCGUUCUUGCGCCGACAAUGGCCGGGACUAAGCGUCCUGCCGAAGCUGUGGGAUCGAGAAAACUCGUAUCGGUAGGGGAGCGUUCCGCUUUCGGGUGAAGCUUUUACGUUAGUAAGGGUGGACGAAGCGGAAGUGAGAAUGUCGGCUUGAGUAACGAAAACAUUGGUGAGAAUCCAAUGCCCUGAAAACCUAAGGAUUCCUUCACUAGGCUCGUCCAUGAAGGGUUAGUCAGGUCCUAAGAUCAGGCCGAAUGGCGUCGUCGAUGGAAAUCAGGUUAAUAUUCCUGAACUGGUUCAAACAGCAUAGGUCCCGAGGGACGAAGGAGGCUAAACUAGGUUUGUAUAUGGAUUGCAAUGGAAACUUUCAAGGUGUCGAUAGGUUGAAUAAAAACAAUUCUUGAACUGAGGAGUGAACCCGUUUGAUCAAAUCUUCGGAUUUGUUCGAACGCUAGUGAUGUCAAACUUCCAAGAAAAGCUCGUUCGAUUUUUGUUUGAACCACCUGUACCUUAAACCGACACAGGUAGGUGGGUAGAGAAUACCUAAGGGCGCGAGAGAACUCUCUUUAAGGAACUCGGCAAACUGGCCCCGUAACUUCGGAAGAAGGGGUGCCCUCUGAAAAGAGGGUCGCAGUGUCCAGGCCCAAGCGACUGUUUACCAAAAACACAGGUCUCUGCAAAGUCGUAAGACGAUAUAUAGGGGCUGACGCCUGCCCAGUGCCGGAAGGUCAAGGAAGUUGGUUAUUCUUUUUGAAAAAGCUGGCGACCGAAGCCCCGGUGAACGGCGGCCGUAACUAUGACGGUCCUAAGGUAGCGAAAUUCUUUGUCGAGUAAGUUUCGACCUGCACGAAAGGCGUAACGAUUUGGGCGCUGUCUCAAAGAGAGGCUCGGUGAAAUAGACUUGUCCGUGAAGAUGCGGACUACUUAUACCAGGACAGAAAGACCCUAUGAAGCUUGACUGUAGUUUGGAACAGGGUUCGGGCUUUUUUUGCGCAGCCUAGGUGGGAGGCGUUGAAGGUUUCUUUUCGGGGAAACUGGAGCCAUUAUUGAGAGACCACUCUGGAAGAGCUAGAAUCCUAAUGGCGUUCCUUGAAUCAGGACGCUUGACAGUUUCAGAUGGGCAGUUUUUCUGGGGCGGAAUCCUCCAAAAAGGUAACGGAGGAGCGCAAUGGUCCCCUCAACCUGGACGGAAAUCAGGCUUUGAGUGCAAAGGCAUAAGGGGGCUUGACUGCAAGACUUACAAGUCGAGCAGGGGCGAAAGCCGGCCUUAGUGAUCCGACGGUUCCGCGUGGAAGGGCCGUCAACAGGCUGAUCUUCCCCAAGAGUUCACAUCGACGGGAAGGUUUGGCACCUCGAUGUCGGCUCAUCACAUCCUGGGGCGGUAGUACGUCCCAAGGGUUGGGCUGUUCGCCCAUUAAAGUGGUACGUGAGCUGGGUUCAGAACGUCGUGAGACAGUUCGGUCCAUAUCCGGUAUGAGCGUUGGAGUAUUGAGAGGAUCUCCCUAUAGUACGAGAGGACCUAUGGGGGACGCACCAAUGGUAUACCAGUUCUUGUUCCAACAGGAAACGCUGGGUAGCUACGUGCGGAGUGGAUAACUGCUGACAGCAUCUAAGUAGGAAGCCCACCUCAAGAUGAGUACUCCCUGAGGUCACGACUAGACUAGUCGCUUGAUAGGUAUCAGGUGUAAGAUCAGUGAUGAUUUUAGCUGAGAUAUACUAACGACCGAUUG
rnacentral:rRNA from 1 species